GAGCCUUUACCUGCUGUCCUCAGAGUUUGCGUUAGCAGGAAGCCGGAAGUUGGAGAAAAGUCAGGACUCAAACCCAAGCAUGCUGAUUUGGGAUAGAGGCAUCCAAGGUGGCAUCUUCAUCACUAUGGCAGAGGCCCACCUUUCUACAAUUUUGUUUGUUGCUGAGACAGAAGGAAAACCCAGUCCUUUGGAGCUUUUUGGCCUUUUACUAAAUUGCUUGCCCUGCUGCUGCUGAGUUGUUUGAAACUGGCCACUGGACACCAUCAUCAGGAAGACUCUGGAUGGACUGCCCAGAGCCCAGAAGAGGCAGGACAUCAGCCGCAGCUCCUCACUGGACCGCCUGCUUCAUGUCAAGUAAUGGCUGGGAUCAGGGUCAGAUGAAGAAUGAGCCCGCUGGACAACUGCUGGCCAGUUGUCUCUCUCCCUGAGAGAGCUGUCUUCCAUCCACUGGUUCACUCUCCAAGUGGGGUAGGCCAUGCUGAAGCCCAGAGCCUGGAACUCAGUCCCGUUCUUCCAUCUGGGCAGCAGGGAGCCAAGUACAUGACCCAUCGCUGCUGCCUCCCUGGGGAUGCAUUAGCAGGAAGCUGGAUCAGAAGCAGAUCAAACCAGGCAACUCAGGUGCAGACUACUGAUGUCUCAAGCACCAUCAUAACUGCUGUGCCAAAUGCCUAGUCCAAGGACUGACUUUGAAGGGCACCCAAACGAGAACAGCGUGCUAACACAGCCACAGAAACACAAGAAGGAGACGGAUCUGCCAUCCCAUCUCGGGGAAUUCCGGGUGGGUUUGAUACAUUUCUUAGGGGUGGGGAGGACAGAAUAAUCAUAUUAUGGAGGAGGGUAAGGCUGUUUUCCCAUAAGUCUCCUCUUUCCUGCUGGGAUGUUUUUGCGCAUGGAGUGUGGUUUGAGCAUCGCAGUUGUUCUGCUUGGUUCUUCUCCAUCAGAGCUCAGCCUUUCCUCCAAUAGUGACUGAACAAGUUGUGAUUUGAAGGAGGCACUGACUCAUUAGCUUCCAUUUCUCUUCUCUGCAUUUUAGGGCUUGACAAUGAAGACAUUACUAUAGACUCUGUCUUCCAAUUCCAGGAUGUGUGUCCUUAGAGUGCCUUCAUUUAUUGGGGGUGAGCCCUCUUGCUAAAACAGUAGUUCAAGUCAACUGGAACCUGAACUCUGCUAAUGGGCCAGGAGGUCAGACACAGUGUUGAGUUAAAUCCAUGGAAGAAGAUACCAAUGGAGCUGAGACCUUCAAAAAUAUUUGGCUUAAGGAUGACAUUGCUGGCUAUUUGUAGAUGGGGACAUCAUUGAGCAUGUUUGGAGUCAUGGUCAUGACUCCAAACUGUGGUCACAUUUAACAACAAAUAGGUACUAAUUUAGAGUUAGACUUCAGAGUAGACACGGUUCCUACCCCCAUGGAGCUCUCAUCUUCUAAUUUUUUCCUUAGAUAUGAAAAGCAGUGGCUACAGCAAACUACUGAUCACAAAGAUAUUCUUGAAUUCAAUAUGGUCAUUCUUAUUGCUUUUAAACAUGCCUAGUGACCAUGUGCUGUAAUCCUGCAUUCUAGAAAUGCCCUAAAAGCUAUUUUUUCCCCUAACAAGCUAUGCAAUAUCCUGUGGAAUCAGAAGUGGGAAUUUGGAUUAGUAGGGCUUUUAGGGUGGGAAAUAUAGAGUGAUUUGGGUCAGGAAGUAGGAAAGAAUAGAAUUCUAUUUCUUUUGUUUCUGUUCUAUGUAGGAAUCAGCGUGGAAAAUAUUGAGCUGGAAACCUUGAGAUCUGAAUUUUAGUAAUUAAAAAAAUGCUCUUGAAAUGGAGAGAGAGAGAGAGAGAGAAGAGAGAGACACCUUCCUUCUCCUUCCAUCUGCUGAUUCAGCUCUCAAAAUGUCCAACAGCUGGGGCUGGGCCAGGAGCCCAAAAUUCAGCCCAGGUCUCCUACAUUACCGGCAGGGAUCCAAGUACUUGAAGCAUCACCUGCUGUUUCCCAGGGUUCGUGUUAGCAGGAAGCUGGAAUCAGAAGUGGAGCCAGGACUUGAACACAGGCAGUCUGAUAUGGGACGGCAUCUUAACUGCUGCAUCAAAUACCCACUCUGAGUCUAGUCUUUAUCCCACUACUGAGGAACUGUGUGACUGGGUGAGUUGCUCCAAGGUGCCCCUUGAAUGACUCCAAACCCCUAACAAUGUCAGGUCAGGCCCCAGGCCAUACCAGUGCUUAGCUUUCCAGUUCCCAGUUAGGUCAAAUAGAUCUUCAACACUCACUUGACUGUGAGUUUUUUGGAGAGGGUGUUUUACUGGCCUCUUAAGCUACAAUGAGUCUGUUUCUGUCCUCUGGAGUUAAGAAGGUUCUGGCAGCAUGCCCUGUUCUGCUCAUAGAGGCUUUGUUCCCUUCUUCUUUGCCUACUCUCUGCCUCUCUGCUUCCUCACUUUGCAUCGAGCACAAUCUUGGAACGCCCUGAAAUACCCAUCAGUAACCUUUCAGGCAGAGUCACCAGGGAAAGAGCUAUCUCCAGAUCUAAGGAGGAGACAACCUUUUACUUCUUGGCAUGAAUCUCCAUGCAGUGAAGAUCACCAACGACUACUACUCCCUGCCCCCAGCAACCCAGCCCUGCCCAGGUAGGGAGUCUGGGCUACUAUUUCUUGCACUUAAAACAAUGCCUCUCCAUCAAGAGACAUCUUUCAUACACACAGUGCUUCAUAUAUCCACAUGGCUGGAGAAGUUUUUUGUUUUUUAAAAAGAUCUAUUUAUUUAUUUGAAAGGCAGAGUUACAGAGAGGCAGAGGCAGAGGCAGAGGCAGAGGCAGAGGCAGAGGCAGAGGCAGAAAGAGAGAGAGAGAGAGAGAGAGAGAGAGAGAGAGAGGUCUUCCAUCUGCUGGCUCACUUCCCAGAUGACCGCAACGGCCGGAGCUGUGCUGAUCCAAAGCCAGGAGCCAGGAGCUUCUUCCUGGUCUCCCACACGGGUGCAGGGGCCCAAAGACUUGGGCCAUCUUCUACUGCUUUCCCAGGCCACAGCAGAGAGCUGGAUUGAAGAGAUGCAGCAGAGACUCAAACCAGCACCCAUAUGGGAUGCCGACACUAUAGGCAGUGGCUUUACCCACUAUGCCACAGCACCAGCCUCUGGAGAGCUUUUUAACAAGGAAAAACACUUAUCAGAUAAGAAUCUGUUGUUAUGUGUUCUUGCCUCAUUAUGAAUCCUAUAUAAGGAACUUCUCAUCACUGUUUCUUUCACCACCAGCAAAUUUGUUUAAUAUAUAGUUUUGGGUGCAGAAAAUAUAGAAAAUUAAAUCCGUGGAAUUUCAAAUUCAGAAAUGCUGACACAAACUAUUUGGUUUGAGAAUCUCACCGUGGGAUCUAGUUUUAGAGAUUUCAACUUCUGCCUUAAAUGGUGGAAUUAGUUAUUCUUCACUCAGUUUUACUUUAUGGUUGAAGUCAAGGCAUGGGUGACGCUUUCAGUUCAUGUCUAUACUUCUCCAGUGCCAAGGGCUUUAAUCUUCUCUAUUACCUUCUCUUUUGUGUAUGUACAUUAUUAUUAAAUUUAUUGGUUAGUGUUUUGUCUCCUCGGCUUGUGCUUUCUUUCCCUCUGGUAACUACAUUAAAAACAGGGUAAGAUUCAUAGACAGAGUGGCUGGUAGAACUUUGAAGAGCAAUAGCAGGCCUGGGUAACUUCUAUAAAUGAAAAGUUGACCCUGGAAUAGUUGACAAUGUAUUCAAAUAGUUUAGAGCAGUGUUCCUCCCACUAAGCAGACACGGCAUCAGUAGACCCAGAUGACUCCAGACAUUCUAUGAAAAAGGGCUCAUUCUGUCUAGCAUCUCACAUUUUCAAAUAUCUGGACAUUGGCCAUUGAGAAGACAAAGUAUACAGAUGAUAGGCUCGUCUUUCUACCUCUUGUUGGAUGGUCUGGAGUCUGGUCACUCCAGCCUUGACUCUAAGGCAAUUUACAUUUGUUUUCCCCAUCCUCCUUGAAAGGAAAGAAAACAAAAAUCACAUUUUUCCAGGCAAUUAAAAUGCUUCUGCUUCAGCUGAGAUGAAAGAAUUAUGAGUUCUGACUCCUUGUAUGUAAUUGCAUGUUUCAUUUUUCUUGUUUUGAUGAUUGACAGAAAACUGAUAAACCAAGACAUCUCUGAAUCAGGGUUGAAUAUACUCUCUUGGUGGCCUCCUUGCUAAUUUGUUUGACUAUUUUGUAAGAUUUCUUGUUCUGUAAUGGAAAGGUUUAUUAAAUAUGAGGGGUGCAAAGCUUUCUGAAUGCUAAUGAACUUAUUUGCCGAAAUUUAAAUGCUCUUCUUGUCAGUGAAUGCCUGUCUCACUUAACAGGAUCCAAAUUGAAUAAUGAAGAAAAUUAGACUUGAUCGUACCCUCAAGAGAAAUCAUGUGUGAAUUGUCAUAGAAUACUGAAGGGGAGAGGGGUCAUAUUUUAGAAAAAAAGAAUAGAUAAUUUGGAUUAUUUCCAAAAAGGGAUUAAUGUAGGGAAACCCAAUUCUUUUCAAAGCAACAUCUUCAUAGCCAGUCCAGGAGCAGAAUCACCAAGGCAGGACCAGUUUAGGAGAGUCAAGUCAUAGCCACAUGGAAGCCAUGCAAGCUUUCGGUGGUUAUAAUUCCCUGACCUCAUUCUGCUAAAAGUCCCUCCCAUGCCUGUGAUAGAAAGGGAAAAUCAGGCCGGCACCGUGGCUCAAUAGGCUAAUCCUCCGCCUUGUGGCGCCAGCACACUGGGUUCUAGUCCCGGUCGGGGCGCCGGAUUCUGUCCUGGUUGCCCCUCUUCCAGUCCAGCUCUCUGCUGUGGCCCAGGAGUGCAGAGGAGGAUGGCCCAGGUGCUUGGGCCCUGCACCCCAUGGGAGACCAGGAGAAGCACCUGGCUCCUGCUUUCGGAUCAGCACGGUGCGCUGGCCGCGGCGGCCAUUGGAGGGUGAACCAACGGCAAAGGAAGACCUUUCUCUCUGUCUCUCUCUCUCACUGUCCACUCUGCCUGUCAAAAAAAAAAAAAAAAAAGAGAAAAUCAAUCACCUGGAAAAUGAACCCUGGUCCCCCUGGGCGUUCAACAGGGCGAUGGUUGGAGCUCGGGCAACUGCUGCAGUUCUUCCUUUAAGCAUUGUGUCAUGAGGCUGUGCUCUCAUCACUGUGUUUUCUCCCAUCGCCUUGGUGUCAUCACUAAUAACGUAGGCAGCCAUGAUGCUUUUCCCCUGCCAGCAUCUGCGGGGCAUUGUGGGAGCAAGAUGGCGUCCCCUUGCCCAGGGAGCCAGGCUGGGAGAAAGCCCACAGCCACAGAAACCUGCUGACUGUGGCCAGGGACAGCAUUGGUAACGCAGAGUCAGACAAUGACAGAGGGGAAGGGAGGGGACAGCAAGGUGGGAAUGCAUCCUCCUCGUAAACCCGCAACAGGUUGGCGUCACCAGGAGGGCAGGAGCUGGGGAAGGCUCCUGAAGACGGCACAGGGCUGAGCGGGGUCUCCAGGGUUGGUUAGAAUUCCUGCUCCUGAGAGUUCAGGAGGGAGCAAAGAUAGAUCAAGAAAACCAGAAAACACCUCAAACCUGGGAGGGCUCAAAGCAAAACCAAACCAAAAAAAAAAAAAAAUGCUGAAAACUAAAAUUGUACUCUUCUAGAAAAAGAGAGUGGGCACUAACAGUUUGAUGCUGGUAGAUUUUCAUUGAGGAUUUUUUCCUUUGGCUAAGAGGGAAGGUUUAUAAGACAAAUUUCUAAGAUGUCGGUGUGUCUUUUGAACAUUGUACUGGAUGUUAUUCUCAAAGGACGAGGAGAAUGGUCAACACAGCUAAGGUGAGCAUCAGCCUUUACAAAUGUAUUGCCUUGUAUUACCUUUGAUUAAAUAAAAAGACUUCUUGUGUGUUUGGUUGCUUCCGUGGGAAGGUUGGAGAGUUAGGAGCCUAGUUUCCCCCUUGGAAUGAUAGGUGCGUUUUUAAGAGUAUGCGAGUAACUGGAAGAAGACGAAGGCUCAUCGCCACGGUUUCAAAGCAUGCUCUGCACCUUCAGAAACAGAGGGGAGCGGGCAAAGCAGGGAGGUGAAGGAGGGGGAGGAAGCAAGCCGCAAGCCGGUGAGACCACCCAGUCUGUGAGAAAGCUAAACGAACAGGGUUUGAAGGAUCCGUGGGUACUGAGGAACACGAGAAGAGGAGAUACUUAAAAACGGGAAAUUUCUCAAGCAAGUGAGGAUGAAUGAUGAGUUGCAUGGAAGCUGACUAAGGGGCUCGGGGAGAGGCAGUGGGAGGGGAAGCAGAACACGACCAGUGCCUGCAAACGGCCAAGCUGGAACCCUCGAUGGCCUAGCCGCCGAGCUGUGGCGCAUGUGCACAGCCUAGAAAUAAAGAGGGAAGAGAUGGAAAGGUUCAUGGUUACCGCGAAGUCCUGAGCACGUUCGAGGAAGCCGUAAUGUGGCAUUAGUCCUCAGGAAUGAAAGUGCUCCUAGAGAAAUCUCUCGGUCUGUGUUCUGCACUCAUUUAAGCACGGAAGAGUGUUCACGUACCUUCUACAGAAGGUUGAUGUAUAAGAUGAAUGCUAUUAAAAGAGAGAACAGCUCAGCAUCAUCGGGGCAAGUUGAAGAAAAGAUUCCGUUUAGAACAACCGAAUAGGGAGAAGGCGAGCAAACCUGCUCACAGCCUUGUAGGUACAAUUUUAAAAUUCAGAGUCUGAUGAGAGCACUGGAGACAAUUUAUCCAAUAGAAGCUGGGUGAUGACGAGGUUUCAACUGCUGUCAAUAUUUGAAAAUAUCCUCUUCCAAAACCAUUUCUCCCAUAAAAAUGAGCGAAAUAAAGUUAAAAAGCUUUGGGGGAUUGUUCUAAAAAUUUUGGAUAAGAGGAUUGAUAACAAUGUAAAGUUAUUCCCAGUGGUAGGAAUGACAAUUUUUCAGAAAAGCUGAUAUUUGGAGCAGGUGUAAAUGCCUGUGAUUAUCUCUUUGCUUCCCUGUAUUUGUGCAAGGGAUUCCUUCCAGCCAGCCAGUACCAGGCCCCUUCAGAGGGAAGCUGAUCGAGUAAUUGAGGUGGAAAGCCUUAAUGAGAUAAUGACGCGAAGGCCAGUUAACACUUAAUAAGAACAUAACCACGAGGGAUGAUAUUGUUGCUUAUUAAUUAUAAUGAUGACACGGAGGAAAGAGACAAGGUGGCACUCAUUUACAGAGAGUACUCAAGAGGAAGACUGCUUUCCCAAAGGGCAAGCUGCAGUCAGCCUUAGAAGUAGGUCAACAUCUAGUGGGGUUGGGAAUUUAUGGCCGUUGGCUUCUUCUGGCAACCGCAGAACUGGUGGCCAGGCAGGAGGCAGUGGCUGCCUUCCUGGUGGUGGCCAGGACUGGAGCAGGGGAUGCGCAUGGAGUCCCGGACUCCAGGCCGAGCUCUGGGGCGGUCUCCUUGCCUUCCAUUCCACAGUGUCAUUCGUGGGCAGACAGGCAGGUGUCCAGAACUGGUCUGGGUGUUCUCCCAGUUCUGCGACCUUCCCUUGCCCACACUCGGUGCGUGAGUCAGACCCAGAAGGCGUCUCCUCGCUCGGCAUGGGCGCCCUGCCCUUUGCGGGAGCCCAGAAGAUCCUUUCUUGUGUGUCAGAGGCCCAGGUCCAGCCAUUAUCAUAGACUUGAAUUUCAUUGCCCUCACUGUGAUUCCAGAAUUGAUUGCUGACCUGGGCACCUCCAUGUUCACCCAAGGCAGGGAGUUGCAGGCUCAGCACCUCACAGCAACUCCACUGUCCCUAUCCAAAUGUGAGGAAGGGGCGGCCAUCGGGGAAAACCUGGAGCUUCUGGAAACCACAGGACUCCUGUAGGCAGUCUUGGAAGCUGGAAAGAAGGGCUAGCCUGGGGAGGCUGACUUGGGGCUCAGUAAGGAACAUAAAACUCCCCUCCUCAUUCUCCAUCAUCUCCCUCACUCCUUUCUGGGUCAUUGGAUGCCACCUUUGCAAUGAUGGGGUGAUUGUCAGGUUUUCCGUGCCAUGAAGUUUAAAUCACAUGGGAUUGUUCUUAUCCUGUGUGAUGGUGUCACUGACCCCUGCAAUAGAAAGGAUAGAACAUUAUCAUCAAUGACUUUUUUAAAGCAUGCAUAUUUCAUUUUGUAUUACAUGUGUGGUUUGAGGAAGGCAAGACAGUUAAACCAAAGAUACAGCUCUGGUCCUCGUCCUUAGGCUGGGAGCUCUGUGGCCUUGGCACAGCUCUUCCCUUUAAAAAAGUAUUUAUUUACUUUAUUUAUUUGAAAGGCAGAAAGACAAGAAAAGAGAUCUCUCAUCUACUGGUUUACUUCCCAAAUGCCUAUCACAGCCAGGGCUGGCCAGGCUGAAGCCAGGAGCUGGGAACCCAAUCCAUGUCUCCCACAUGGGUGGCAGGGACCCAGCUACUUGCAAUAGUAGGAAGCUGGAAUUGGGGGCAGAGCUGGGGCGCACAUCCAAGCACUCAGACGUGGGAUGUUAGCAUCCCAGUGGCAUCUGCACUGCUAAACAAACACCCUCCCUACAUCUCUUGCCUUUCUGAGCUCACUUUCCCCAUUCAUAAAAUGAGGGGUUAUUGAGGAUAAUGUAUAAUUCCAAAGCCAUUUCUGAUUUAAAAGUCUGACAUAUGCACAAGAGGGGUCUCCAAAAAGUUCAUGGAAAAUAUGUAUCAUGAAAAGCUAUGCAUGGCUUUCAAAUUUUUUUUGGAUUAAAUUAAGCUUUUGUUUUAUCUCCAUUUUCCAUGAACUUUUUGAAGCCCCCUUGCAUGUGCUUGUAUGGGCCCUACAUCUAUUGCAUCUUCUUUAAAAAGCAAAAUUACUUAUUCAUUCGAGAGACAGAGAGUGAGCAGAUGGAGAGUGAGCUCCCAUCUGCUGGUUCACUGCCCAAAUGUCCACAGUAGCUAUGACGGGGCUGGGUUGAAGCUGAGAAGUGGGAACUCAAUCCAAGUCUCCCAAGUGGGCGGCAGAAAUCCCUGGCACCAUCACUGCUACCUCUCAGGGGCUGCAGUAGCUGGAAGCGGAAGUCGUGAACUGGAGUCGGAAACUGAACACCGGCACUCGGAUCUGGGACACGGGCAUCUUAAGCACUAGGCUAAAUGUCUGUCCUAUUAAAUCUUUUUGAGAAAAAGUAGUUGGUAAACCUCUCUGGGAAGAAAUAUUACCUUAAUUCAUGGUUCCGAGGGGACAAUUCAGGCCAGAGUUGCCAAAGACCCAAAGGCAAAGCUAUUUAUUGAAUAUAUGGUUAUCUAGAAAAUGUCAUACUUGGGAACUUCCUGCUGUGCUGCAGGUUCAUGUUCUGAUGUUUCCAGCAUGUUUCAGAGUAGGAAGAGGCAAUGAACACAAUCUUUCCUCGUCUUCCAAGUGGAAGAUUGAAUCCCACAGGAUACUGUCUGCCCAGCCAAUCCAGUUAAUAAUGUUUUUUUUUGUUUGUUUGUUUGUUUGUUUGUUUUUUUUGUUUUUGUUUUUGUUUUUUUGACAGGCAGAGGGGACAGUGAGAGAGAGAGAGAGAGGGAAAGGUCUUCCUUUGCCGUUGGUUCACCCUCCAAUGGCUGCCGCGGCUGGCGCUGCAGCCGGCGCACCGCGCUGAUCCGAAGGCAGGAGCCAGGUGCUUCCACCAUGGGGUGCAGGGCCCAAGCACUUGGGCCAUCCUCCACUGCACUCCCUGGCCACAGCAGAGAGCUGGCCUGGAAGAGGAGCAACCAGGACAGAAUCCGGCGCCCCAACCGGGACUAGAACCCGAUGUGCCGGUGCCGCUAGGCGGAGGAUUAGCCUGUUGAGCCAUGGCGCCGGCCAAUAUAGUAGGAAAGGGUCACUUUUUUUUCCUGAGUAUUUCCUGGUAAAUGCAUUAUUUCAGUGACAUUUGUUUAAUUGCAACAUAGGUAAAAUCAGCCUCUGAAAAAUAUCAACAGUAACAGCACUGACACGUGGAAGAGAAGUUGGUUUCUUAGCCAGAAGUUUCUGUGAACAUAUAAAUGACUUUCAACGUUCAUUGAUUCCAGAUAAAGGCUUCUUUCAGGUCGUUAAGAGGACUUAGGUGCCCUGAACAGAGAGGGGCUCUUUAUUGCUUGUAUCUUAUUUGGAAGUCAGAAAAAUAAUCGAUUUUUUUUUUUAAAGAGCAAGGCCAGACUGAAGCCUGGAGCCAGGAACUCCAUUCUGAUUUCCCACAUGGGUGGCAGGGGCCCAAGUGCUUGAGUGAUCGAUCACCUGCUGCUUCCCAGGCACAUUAGCAGGGAGCUGGGUCAGAAGCAGGAAAGCCGAGAAUGAACCAGCGCUUCAAUAGGGGGUGUGGGUGUCCCAAGCCAUGGCUUUACCCCUUGUGACACACUGCCCUCCCCAUCAAUCCACUUUUGAAAAUAAGAAUAUUAGCACCUGGAAUUGCAAACUGCCUUAAUUUAUAAUUCUUAGCCAUCUAGAAUGCCUUCUUUUGAUCUUCUUUCAAGGUUGGUUUCUCCUCUUUUGCUGAUUAAAUUCUAAAUUGUUCAGUAUGGUUGCAUUAAGCUGACUGGGCAAAGUUAGAAACAUUCAGAUACAGAAUUUGAUUAAAUAAGAAUACAAGAGAAGCGGCAGCUCUAUUUAUGCAACACCUACGUAUCAAUAUUUGAAUGCAGUAGCUAACUGUGGAGGACAAUGCAGGGAUGGAGAAUAGUGGCUAUCCCUGGGGAGCAACUGACUGGCUGGGAGGUUGGAGAAAGACUCUCUAUAUAUCCUGUUGUCCCUUUUAUACAAUGCAUCAUAUUCAUAUUUUACCUAUUCAUAUUUUUUAUAAGAGGAAAAGCUAUUUUUACUGAGAUGGAAAAAUACAAAAGACACAUUGUUGGGUAUAAAAGCAAAUUGCAGAAUAGUGUAAAUAGUAUUUUUGCUGUUUUUGUAAAGUAAUUACGCAUACACACACACACAUAUAUACACACACACAUAUGUGCACACCCACAUAUCUGUAAGAACACACACUGAAUUACAUGAACAAUGGUUCCCCAUAGGGAGGGAGAAAGAAACAAUAUGGGUAUACUGUCAAAGCCUAUGUGCUUUGACAGUCUGAAUUUUUAAAGUCCUAUGUAUUUAUUUGCAAGGCAGAACAAGAGAGAGAGAGAGAGAAAGUCUAACUACUGGUUUAGUCCCCAACUGCUUGAAGCCAGGGUGGGCCGACACCAGGAGCCAGGAGCCCCAUCUGGGUCUCCCAUGUUGGUGACAGGGGCCCAGGAACUUGGGCCAACAUCUGCUGCCUCCCAGGUACAUUAGUAAGAAGCAUGAUCAAACCAGAGGCAAGGGCCUGAUGCCAGGCACUCUGGUUAGGAUGUGGGCAUCCCACAUGGUGGAUUCACACACUCCGCCACAAUAUCUACCCUGAAUUUUAUUUUCUUUUACCCAAAGAGCAAACAUAUGAAUUCAGUUUAAAUAAUUCAUAAAAGCCCAACACAAUCAAAAGUUGGCACUUGAUUUCUACACACCCGUAACAACACCUUUGUCAGCCUUACUCUGGCUUGCUGUAAUCUCCCAAAUUCACUUUAGACCUCUCCCUGGCCUCUUUUAAGGCUUCCAGAACUCUCUGUUCCUUUACCUCUGUUAUUCAUCAACAGGUUAAAGCCAUGACUGACAGGUCACGGCAACACUACUUCCAGCUCCUGUCCCUACCACUUUCCUCUUCAAUUCAUCCAUAACAACACAGCUAACAUUUUUCUCAUUCCUACUGCGGGUUAAGCCGAACUCUCUACCUCUUUCAGGAAAAUUUCCAUGCUCUCAAGAUCAUCCCUGUUGGUACUUAAAUAUGUCUCCAAUCUCACGCAAUGAAAUCAAGAAAACUUCCUCCAAUUCUGUGUACUUCUUUAGAGCAAUUUCCCUUGAAAAAGCUUUUCUUUGAUAAAGACACUUUCUUCCCUUCCAUUCAUUUUUUAUAAAGAAAUUUUAUUUUUAUCUAUCUGAAAGACAGAGAAAUAGACAUAGUCAGUAAAAGAGAGAAAGAUCAUCCAUCUGCUGGUUCAUUCCCAAAAUGUGCACAACAAGCCAGGCUGAAGCCAGGAGCCAACAACUUGAUCUGGGUCUCCCAAGUGGGUGGCAGGGACCCAAGUGCUGGGGUCAUCCUCUGUUGCCUCUCGGGUGCAAUAGCAGAAAACUGGAUUAUAAGUGGAGGUGGGACUUACCCAGGCACUGAGAUAGGGGAUGUGCGGGUUGAAAGUGAGAAUUAACCCAAUGUGCCAGGACACUCACCCUCUCACCCAUUCUUAAACCCAUGCCUCUCCAGCUGUCAGCUCUAACCACUCUCCCCAGACUCUCGUCAAGGUCACUUGUGGUGUUUACUUGUGAAAUACAAUGGUCAAAUUUCAGUCCUCAUCUUCUCUACCUCUCAACUCACUGGCCACAGUGGAUGACUUUCUUCUCUUGGAAAUCCUUUUCCCUCUUGCUCCUCUGCACACUUGUGUCCCUUAGAUCUCUUCCUACCUCACAGACUGCUCCUUCUAAGCUUUACCUUUGUCCUCUUCGUCUUGAAAUGUUGUGACUAUUCAUGGCUCAGUCCUUGGGCCACCUGCUUUCUUUAUUUAAACUCAGUUCCUUGGUGAUCUCAUGCAGCAUCUUGGCUUUGAAUACCUUCCCCACGCUGAUGUCUUCCCAGUUUUAUGUCUAAAUUCCAACCUGAACCUAAACUAUACAUUCGCUAUCCUUUGUACAUCACUAACUAGCUUUAGCAGGAAUCUCAAACUUAACACACCCCAAAGAGGCAGACAUUUCUCACAUCCUUUCCAUAGCUUCAUUAAAUCAAUGAGCCAUAUGUUGCCAAAUGGUAUGUUGUCUCAUAUAUAUCACAGAUGUGUAAAAGCCAUGACUUCUGUAGUUGCAACAGGCAUGUAUCACACUUGUUAUAAAAGCCCCUUCCAAAUGAAACAUUCGUUAGAAACCUGCCAAUCUCCUUUGCAAUAUCAGUAGGGCGGUCCUAUGCCCUUAUUGGCUUGAACUGUCCAGAUGCACACCUGUUGUUGCAGCAUAAUUGUUAAUUGCAGUCCCUCUCACUCUCUAAAGAAUCUUGGUUUGGACGAUAAAUUAUAUGUUCGACCCAAGUAUUAGGGUCUCCAGGAUAAACGAUCAAGGCGCCAUUCCUAUUUAUUGGUAUUACCUUGUCACAAGCUGUGAAAACAAUUUUCCUUUUGAUUGUUUCUUCCUGAGUUGUCACAAAGACCUUCACAUAAAAUCGCUCUCUCCCAUUAAAGUAAUUAUGGAAACCCCCUUCAGUAAUGACCACUUGUUUAGUUUCCCGCCUCAGAUUCCAGAGACCCAGUGCACACAUUGCAUUUGCUGGGUCAGGAUCAAAAUUGUUCUGAGGCACCCAUCUUGGACAGGGAAAAUUUUAUCUAAUCCACAAGGAUCUCAAAUAAACAUUUUUUUUUUUCAUUUUUUUCCCUUUGGUAGCGUUAUCUUGUGGAAAUGUGAUUCUAGCGUGUGGCCAACUACUGCUUUUAGCCCAGUGAAUGGAAGACACAAUGCGAUAUACUUAGUUUCCACGGGACAUGUGUAUUUCUGGCGUAAGGAGCUUAAUGUCUUUGGAGUUGCUACUAGGGAAUGAGUCAUUGAAAGGUGAAUCUGGGUGGCCUCCUUAGACAUAAUCUCUGUAAAAACGAUUUAAUCUCUGUGAUUCACAAGGGAAGAUUUUCCUGAGUUGAGAAGAAUGACAUUCCUGGGACUACGUUUCCGCAACUAUAUUCUUGACUGAUGGUUGUAGCAACUCCAUUGAUUCACUAUUUAAUGUUGAAAAUUGAUUUCUACUUUUUCUCAUCUAAGGCUGUGUCCUUCUCGUACUGCUCUCCCCAGUCAAUUUGCUGGGGAAAAAAAAUGUCUUUUUGAAUAACGUAGACUCACAAAGACAAAGCAACUAGCACAGAAAAACUACAUUGUUUUUUCUCUAAUUGUUCUGCUGUUUUGUAACCCAUCUGUAAGUCAUGGAUUAUUCUGCUGGGGUUAGCUUUCCUGACACAGUUGCUGCAAAAUAAAUGAUACACUUAGCAAAAUAUCAGGAGUGUUCAGGAGAAGAGAUGAGGAAUGGCUUCAUUCCUGUUCGGAGCUGGCUUGGAAAUUAAAUUGAAUGAGGUAAAGUG